ensembl:ncRNA ZK377.6 ncRNA
AGUUGUACUUGCCCGAAGUUUGGCGUUCUGAGAACGUGAAUCGGUUAGUGACAUAAGGGGGGAGGGCAUCGGCAAUGAAGAUUCUAACGAGCGAUAAACGAAUUUUGGGCGUCGAGGAGAACGUGACACUGUGUAA